rnacentral:rRNA from 1 species
CCUACGGGAGGCAGCAGUGGGGAAUUUUGGACAAUGGGCGCAAGCCUGAUCCAGCAAUGCCGCGUGAGUGAAGAAGGCCUUCGGGUUGUAAAGCUCUUUUGUCAGGGAAGAAACGGUGGGGGCUAAUAUCCCUUGCUAAUGACGGUACCUGAAGAAUAAGCACCGGCUAACUACGUGCCAGCAGCCGCGGUAAUACGUAGGGUGCAAGCGUUAAUCGGAAUUACUGGGCGUAAAGCGUGCGCAGGCGGUUUUGUAAGUUUGUCGUGAAAUCCCCGGGCUCAACCUGGGAAUGGCGAUGAAGACUGCAAGGCUAGAAUCUGGCAGAGGGGGGUAGAAUUCCACGUGUAGCAGUGAAAUGCGUAGAGAUGUGGAGGAACACCGAUGGCGAAGGCAGCCCCCUGGGUCAAGAUUGACGCUCAUGCACGAAAGCGUGGGGAGCAAACAGGAUUAGAUACCCUGGUAGUCCACGCCCUAAACGAUGUCUACUAGUUGUCGGGUUUUAAUUAACUUGGUAACGCAGCUAACGCUGAAGUAGACCGCCUGGGGAUACGGUCGCAAGNUUAAAACCNCAAAGAGUGACGGCGNGAGAGAGCGACGACGACGACGAGGAGGAGG